UACGUAGGUGGCAAGCGUUGUUCGGAAUUAUUGGGCGUAAAGGGCGCGUAGGCGGUUUGUUAAGUCGGUUGUGAAAGCCCGGGGCUCAACCCCGGAGGGUCGACCGAUACUGGCAGGCUAGAGUACAGAAGAGGUAGCUGGAAUUCCCGGUGUAGCGGUGAAAUGCGUAGAUAUGCGGAGGAACACCGAUGGCGAAGGCAAUCCCCUGGGCCUGCACUGACGCUCAUGCACGAAAGCGUGGGGAGCAAACAGG
rnacentral:rRNA from 1 species